AAAGUUUUUUGAAUUGUUGUGGAAAGAAAAUAAAAGAAGUAAAAAAAAUCUGUUCUUAUCAGUUUAAUAUCUGAUACGUCCCCUACCCGGGGACCAUAUAUUAAAUUGAUUUUUGGAGCAGGGAGAUGGAAUAGGGGCUUGCUCCGUCCACUCCACGCAUCGACCUGGUAUUGCAGUAUUUCCAGGAACGGUGCACUCCCU
ensembl:snRNA U2 U2 spliceosomal RNA